GCCCAGGUGGCGGAAUUGGUAGACGCACUAGGUUCAGGUCCUAGCGGUGGUAACAUCGUGGAGGUUCGAGUCCUCUCCUGGGCACCA
rnacentral:tRNA from 1 species